rnacentral:tRNA from 1 species
GCCGACAUAGCUCAGUUGGUAGAGCAGCUGAAUCGUAAUCAGCAGGUCGUGGGUUCGAGCCCCUCUGUCGGCU